rfam:Equus caballus chromosome X, whole genome shotgun sequence.
GUCUACAGCCAUACCACCCUGAAGGCGCCUGACCUCGUCUGAUCUUGGAAGCUAAGCAGGGUCAGGCCUGGUUAGUAUUUGGAUAGGAGAAAAUGAAGUUCGAAGGACUAAGUACC